UACGUAGGGUGCGAGCGUUGUCCGGAAUUAUUGGGCGUAAAGAGCUCGUAGGCGGUCUGUCGCGUCGAUCGUGAAAACCUAGGGCUUAACCCUGGGCUUGCAGUGGAUACGGGCAGACUAGAGGUAGGUAGGGGAGAAUGGAAUUCCUGGUGUAGCGGUGAAAUGCGCAGAUAUCAGGAGGAACACCGGUGGCGAAGGCGGUUCUCUGGGCCUUACCUGACGCUGAGGAGCGAAAGCAUGGGGAGCGAACAGG
rnacentral:rRNA from 1 species